rnacentral:rRNA from 1 species
ACGGGUGAGUAAUACAUCGGAACGUGCCCAGACGUGGGGGAUAGCCCGGCGAAAGCCGGAUUAAUACCGCAUGAGAUCUGAGGAUGAAAGCAGGGGACCUUCGGGCCUUGCGCGUUUGGAGCGGCCGAUGGCAGAUUAGGUAGUUGGUGAGGUAAAGGCUUACCAAGCCUGCGAUCUGUAGCUGGUCUGAGAGGAUGAUCAGCCACACUGGGACUGAGACACGGCCCAGACUCCUACGGGAGGCAGCAGUGGGGAAUUUUGGACAAUGGGCGCAAGCCUGAUCCAGCCAUUCCGCGUGCAGGAUGAAGGCCCUCGGGUUGUAAACUGCUUUUGUACAGAACGAAAAGGGCCUGGCUAAUAUCUAGGUUUCAUGACGGUACCUAAAGAAUAAGCACCGGCUAACUACGUGCCAGCAGCCGCGGUAAUACGUAGGGUGCGAGCGUUAAUCGGAAUUACUGGGCGUAAAGCGAGCGCAGACGGUUACUUAAGCAGGAUGUGAAAUCCCCGGGCUCAACCUGGGAACUGCGUUCUGAACUGGGUAGCUAGAGUAUGUCAGAGGGGGGUAGAAUUCCACGUGUAGCAGUGAAAUGCGUAGAGAUGUGGAGGAAUACCGAUGGCGAAGGCAGCCCCCUGGGAUAAUACUGACGUUCAUGCUCGAAAGCGUGGGUAGCAAACAGGAUUAGAUACCCUGGUAGUCCA